rnacentral:tRNA from 1 species
GCCCGGGUAGCUCAGUCGGCAGAGCAGCUCACUCGUAAUGAGCAGGUCAGGGGUUCGAAUCCCCUCUCGGGCU